rnacentral:rRNA from 1 species
GUGGGGAAUAUUGGACAAUGGGCGCAAGCCUGAUCCAGCCAUGCCGCGUGAGUGAAGAAGGCCUUCGGGUUGUAAAGCUCUUUCGACGGGGACGAUGAUGACGGUACCCGUAUAAGAAGCCCCGGCUAACUUCGUGCCAGCAGCCGCGGUAAUACGAAGGGGGCUAGCGUUGUUCGGAAUUACUGGGCGUAAAGCGAACGUAGGCGGUGUUCCAUGUCAGAGGUGAAAGCCUGGGGCUCAACUCCAGAAUUGCCUUUGAAACGGGGACGCUUGAGUCCGAGAGAGGAUGGCGGAAUUCCUAGUGUAGAGGCGAAAUUCGUAGAUAUUAGGAAGAACACCGGUGGCGAAGGCGGCCAUCUGGCUCGGUACUGACGCUCAGGUUCGAAAGCGUGGGGAGCAAAC